GAUGAACGCUAGCGGCGGGCCUAAUACAUGCAAGUCGCACGGGAUUGAGGAGCUUGCUCCUCAUGAGAGUGGCGCACGGGUGCGUAACACGUAUGUAACCUACCUUAAUCAGGGGGAUAGCCUCUCGAAAGAGAGAUUAACACCGCAUAAAAUCACACUAUGGCAUCAUAGAAUGAUCAAAUAUUUAUAGGAUUAAGAUGGGCAUGCGGAACAUUAGCUAGUUGGUAAGGUAACGGCUUACCAAGGCUACGAUGUUUAGGGGAUCUGAGAGGAUGGCCCCCCACACUGGUACUGAGACACGGACCAGACUCCUACGGGAGGCAGCAGUAAGGAAUAUUGGUCAAUGGACGGAAGUCUGAACCAGCCAUGCCGCGUGCAGGAAGACGGCCCUACGGGUUGUAAACUGCUUUUGUACCGGAAUAAACCUCUUUACGUGUAAGGAGCUGAAUGUACGGUAAGAAUAAGGAUCGGCUAACUCCGUGCCAGCAGCCGCGGUAAUAC
rnacentral:rRNA from 1 species